UAGCUAUUCCCUUCGUCCGAAAAUACUUGUCCUCGAAAUGGUUGUAUCUAGACUUAUUUUAAUUAUAGAUAUAUCCAUUUUAUCCAUUUCUAGGACAAGUAUUUCCGGACAAAGGGAGUACAUU
rfam:Triticum aestivum genome assembly, contig: Triticum_aestivum_CS42_TGACv1_scaffold_486608_6AS